rnacentral:rRNA from 1 species
UGGGGAAUAUUGCACAAUGGGCGCAAGCCUGAUGCAGCCAUGCCGCGUGUAUGAGGAAGGCCUUCGGGUUGUAAAGUACUUUCAGCGGGGAGGAAGGCGAUAAGGUUAAUAACCUUGUCGAUUGACGUUACCCGCAGAAGAAGCACCGGCUAACUCCGUGCCAGCAGCCGCGGUAAUACGGAGGGUGCAAGCGUUAAUCGGAAUUACUGGGCGUAAAGCGCACGCAGGCGGUCUGUCAAAUCGGAUGUGAAAUCCCCGGGCUCAACCUGGGAACUGCAUUCGAAACUGGCAGGCUAGAGUCUUGUAGAGGGGGGUAGAAUUCCAGGUGUAGCGGUGAAAUGCGUAGAGAUCUGGAGGAAUACCGGUGGCGAAGGCGGCCCCCUGGACAAAGACUGACGCUCAGGUGCGAAAGCGUGGGGAGCAAACA